AGAGUUUGAUCAUGGCUCAGGAUGAACGCUAGCGGCAGGCCUAAUACAUGCAAGUCGAGGGGUAAGAGUCAGCUUGCUGACUACACGACCGGCGCACGGGUGCGUAACGCGUAUGCAACCUACCUUUAACAGAGGAAUAGCCCCGAGAAAUCGGGAUUAAUACCACAUAACAUUAUGAUAUGGCAUCAUAUUAUAAUUAAAACUCCGGUGGUUAAAGAUGGGCAUGCGUGACAUUAGCUAGUUGGUGAGGUAACUGCUCACCAAGGCUACGAUGUCUAGGGGUUCUGAGAGGAUGAUCCCCCACACUGGUACUGAGACACGGACCAGACUCCUACGGGAGGCAGCAGUAAGGAAUAUUGCGCAAUGGAGGCAACUCUGACGCAGCCAUGCCGCGUGCAGGAUUGAAGGCCUUAUGGGUCGUAAACUGCUUUUAUUUAGGAAUAAACUUUCGUACGUGUACGAAACUGAAGGUACUAAACGAAUAAGCACCGGCUAACUCCGUGCCAGCAGCCGCGGUAAUACGGAGGGUGCAAGCGUUAUCCGGAUUUAUUGGGUUUAAAGGGUGCGCAGGCGGACCAAUUAGUCAGUGGUGAAAUCCCGAGGCUCAACCUCGGAACUGCCAUUGAUACUGUUGGUCUUGAAUACGGUUGAAGUASGCCG
rnacentral:rRNA from 1 species